AUACAGAAGGUUGGGCUGAUACCCUUUAUAUCUGCCAUGGUCCAGACAAUGGAGGUCUUACUUUCAUGCAGUACUUGUAAGCGUUAUUAUACCUACACAUCUGGCAAACUGGAUGAGAUAAUAACAUGCAAAGUAGAAUCAUGGCUUAGGAAAACAUACCUGAGGUGAACUAGGAGCGGCUUUAGCUCCAGCUUGGGUGGUUCCUCUACUGAUGGCUUCGCUGGAGGUGUUGCCCUUUUUUCUAACUCAGGGGACUCGAACCGAGGUUCCCUUUUCAAGAAUCCUUUGCCUUCAAGUGCCAUAACCCACUCAGCUAACCCUUCACCAUUCAUCUCUUUUAAAUUUGUCAGACAUGCCUCUAAUGGAUCUUUAGAAUUCAGGGUUAUAUCAUCUUCUUGCAGGAUCACAUAACCUGCCUCCAUUAGAGAGCAAUUAGCAUAUUCACCGGGUCUCCUCAUAGAUUGCUGACAUUGAAUAUGACUUCUUCAUUGUUCAAUCUCAUUUUUAAUUCCCCAGUCUCACAAUCGAUCAAUGCUCUCCCAGUGGCCAAAAAUGGCCUACCUAAAAUGAUAAGUAUCUCCUCAUCUACCUGACAAUCCAGUAUAACAAAGUCUGCAUGGAACACGAACUUUCCCACUUGUACCAACACAUCAUCAAGAAUCCCAGUAGGCCUUUUUACCUUGCGGUCAGCUAACUGUAGGAGUAUCGAAGUCAGUCUUUCUCUGCCAAUGCCCAGUUUGGUGUAUACUGCCAGAGGCAUCAAGUUUAUGCUGGCUCCCAAAUCACAUAAUGCCUUUUAAUGGCAUAACUCCCAAUUGUCAACGGAAUAGUGAAGCUACCUGGGUCAGACAUCUUUUGAGCCAUCAGUCUGUUCACUACUGCGUUGCAGGUCUGCGGCAGAGUCACUGUGGAUAGGUCCUGAAAAUCAAACUUCCAUGACAUUAGUUCUUUCAUCAUCUUUGCAUAAACUGGAAUCUCCCUCAAAGCAUCUAUUAGGGGAAUAUUCAACUGAAUUUGACACAGCAUCUCCAUGAGUUUCUAGUAUUAAACUUCCUUCUUAUGUUUUACCAGUCUUUGAUAGAAUGGUGCAGCUAUCGCCCAUUGUGCACGCUUGCUUGCUUCUCUCUAUUGGGGUUUUGUGACAUAAGAGGUGUCACCUGUUCAGCAACUGGUUCAUUUACUUUAGCCUUACCAUUUUCAUCUUGCCCCUGUUCAACCACCACUUCAGUCAGAUUUGUUGGUUCAUCUAUCUCUAGUGGAAUUGGAGUGGCUGGCAUAGUUUCUUUGCUGGCUUGUGCAACCUCCUACUCAUUGUCUAAAUCUAUCCCAUUUUAAAGACUUACUGCCAUCACCUGAUUCGGGUUUUUCUUCUCGGGGUUAAUAUUUGUAUCUGUUGGCAAUGUUCCCUGGGGGCGAUUGUUUAAAGCCAUAGAUAACUGUCCCAACUGAGUUUCAAUGUUCUUUACAGUUGAAUCAUGUACUUCCAACUUUUCUUAUAUCUUAUCAUUUGUCCUAAUGAGUUGCUGGAGCAUCCUUUGAUCUCUACCAUAUUGUUAUCUUGCUGCUGAGGAGGUGGCUGAUAUGUCAGCUAUUGCUGGUUCUGUUGUGGGUAGCUCUGUUGUCUCUAGUUGUAUGGCACCAUUUGUUGUGGAGCCUGCAUGCUCCCAGGCUGAGGCAUGUUGAGUUUGUAUUGCUGAGUUGGUGCAGGUCUCCACCAUUUGUCUAAAUCUCUCCCAUUCCGGAGACUAACUGCCAUCAGUUGAUUUGGGUUUUGCUCCUUCGGGUUAAUAUUAGUUUCUUCUGGCAAUGUUCCCUGGGUUCGAUUAUUUAAAGCCAUAGAUAACUGCCUCAACUGAGUAUCAAUGUUCUUUGUAGCUAAAUCAUGUACUGCCAACUUUUCUUGCAUGUUACCAUUUAUCCCAAUGAGUUGCUGGAGCAUCCCUCUGAUCUAUACCAUGUUGUUAUCUUGCUGCUGAGGAGGUGGCUGAUAUGUUAGCUGUUGUUGGUUUUGCUAUGGUUAUCCCUACUGUCUCUGGUUGUAUGGCACCAUUUGGCCUGGAGAAUGCAUGCCCCCAGGCUGAGGCAUGUUGGAUUUGUAUUGCUGAUUUCGUUCUGGUCUCCACUGUGUCCUCCUUGUCUUUCACCCCCAAAAUUCUUAACAUAAAUCAUGUCUUCCCUUUCCCUUGAUUUUCACCUUCUCCGCUCCAUAAACACACAUAAGACUUAUUAACACAUGGUGUACACAGUCCUAUAUUUGUUGUGUCAACAAUAUGCACUUGUUCGGUACCCAUUUCAUCUAUCUUCUUCGUAAAAAUACUCAUCUAAUUCAUGAAUGUGGCCAUUUUCUCUACAUGUGAAUUAUUUGGGUCAAGAGGAACUGAAUGUGCUAUGGGUGUCAGUGUUGUACCUCUAGUCAUCCACCCCGAAUUCUGGGACAUCUUAUCAAGGAGGACUUUGCACUCAGUGAAUGUCUUACUUAAAAAGGCACCUCCAGCUGAACCAUCCAUAUUAGCUUUUAGAUUGUCAGCUAACCCCAUGUAGAACCUCUGACUAAGCAUUUGGUCUGGAAUGCCAUGGUGAGAACACUUCACCAGCAUCCCUUUGAAUCUUUCUCAAGUUAUCUACAAGGUUUCAGUCGGAUGCUGCUUGUACUGCAAUAUUUAAUCAAUCUGCCGUGCAGUCUUGUUGGGUGGGUAGAACUUAUUCAGGAAUUGCUUAACUAAUUCCUCCCAAGUGACAAUAGAAUUGAUAGGGAGCGAAUUUAGCCAAGUAUGAGCUUCCCUGGGCAUAGAGAACGAGAACAGUAAUAGCGUGAUAGCUUCUGGGCCACAUUUGGCUACAUUUGAGUCACACAAAUUGACAAAAAAAAUUCAAAUUAUGGUGAGGGUCUUCAAUGUGUAACCCGGAGAAUAAUCCUUUAUUCUGCAGCAGAUGCAGCAUGUUGUUGGUGAUCUCGAAUGUCUCCACUUGAAUUGCAGGCACAACUAUAGCAGUCGCCAGGUUGUCAGCUGCGGGUUGUGCCUAAUCAUAAAGUGCAGCUUUUGGCACAAGAGGAACCACUAAUCUAAUGUUAGGGAUUGCUGGCGGAUCCCCGACGUUUCCAUUGAUGCUUUAUGCGUCGUCCAUGUCAAAUUGGAGCUUGUGUGGCUGUUGUGAUUUUUAGAUUCUCUUGUUGGCACGGUUCUAUGCCUUGAAUAUUUUCUCUGGGUCUGAAAGUCCUUCAAGCAGCUCUCUAGUCCUCGAAGAAUUUCUAGGCACAGUCUUGAAGUCCACAAGAGUUCAAACAUUAGAAAUUCAAUGAGAAUUGUUUAAAACCUUUGAAAAUUGAUAAGAAUUAAUAAUUUAAAACACUAUUUCUAAGUUGUAAUCAAUAAUACCUUUAGUUCCCCGGCAACAGUGCCAAAAAUUGAUCACACCCAACUAUGCCUUUUAACGGGCAAAGCGCUCGUUGUAAAUAUAACCUGGUUUUAAGCCCGGAGUUGAAUCCUUAGGGAACUAACCUAUCUAUUACACUCUUUGGCAAUGUUAUUGAAAACUCAAUCAAUCUCUAGAUGCAAGAUUUUUGAUAAAAUAGGAUUGGGUUUUUGGUUAACUAUUUCAACUACUAUUAAAAACAGCAGUAAGCUAAAACAAGGAUAAUUCAAUGGUAAAAAGUUCUAGGCAAGUAAUUUCCCCAAUUGCUAGUUUAGGUCUUGACUCUUCUGCUAUUAUCACGCCGUAAAACUAUAUUAGAAUUAAGAGUUAUGGGUUAUCGUAAUUAUCUCUCGAUCAACUACAAUAAUUUAUUAGAGCAUUCUCUCGAACUACUCUAGCUAACAAUAUGUGUGCAACUCUAUAAUCCCACCAAAGUUUCGUUUUCUCUAAACCCACUUUUAAAUUCAAGUAAUGAAUCUCUUCAAUUACAUAAAAGUUGUGUUGUUCAACAGAUUUCUAACCUAGUACUCUUUCUCAAGCAACAUAAGGUAAUUAGACAUGAUUAAUCAAGGGUCCAUUCAAUUAAUCACUAUAAAAAGCUUAGUUGAACAAUCAUAUCAUAAAUCUGGCUCGAUUAUAACAACUUGAGUCAAACCUUCAACCAAAAAUUGGUUCCAUCAACCCUAGAUAAGUGUUUAGCUACUCAUAAUGAAAUAAGAGAAAACUAAUAGAUGAAUCAUAAUGUAAAAUUACAAGAAUUAAAAGGAGAUAGAGAAAAACUCUAGUGUUGGAUCGUCUCCUCCCACUUGUUCUUCCUCCAAAAGUAGUACAAACAAGCUUAAUCACAUAUUGGGCAAGUUUAGAGCUUAUAAGGGUUUUUACAAAAGUUCCCCGAAGAUACACUUAAGUCCCUAAAUUUCCAGCAUUAUGAACAAUGCACCGCGGUCGCGGCAGACCAUAGUCGACCCCUUGCCCAGGCCAUUUUCUGCUUCUUCGUUCUUGGGUACUUCUCGAGUGGGCCUUUUCUUCACAUUAUCGCCUCCAAUACCCUCCAUGUUGCUUCCUCUCAUAUAAUAUUCACUGUGAAACAAAAGAACACUAUUUAGAGCAUUUUGUUGGCAAUUUAUCUAUAAAACAACAACAAAGUUUGGUCAUAUUAAGGUGUAAAUAUCAACUAUAUAGCCUAUUAUCAGUAAGUAUGUGCAAGCGUUUUAUUUAUUUUUUAUAAUUUUUUAGGUUUUUAAACUAAUUAUUUCCCCUUUUUCAUCCAUAAAAUUCCAAUAAUUAUGUCAAAAAUUAUUAUUUGGGUAAUUCAACUAUUGUAUUUUCAUAUUUAUGUCCAAAUAUAGCUAAACAAAAUUUUCACAUAUUUUUUACUAAUUUAUUUUGUAUUUUUUGAAGUUAAAUUGCACAUAAUUGUAAUAUUAGCCAUUUUAAUGUUAAAUUAUGUUUUAUAUUCAUAAAAAUGAGUCUGGUAUUUUUAAAUUGCUAAUUUUGUGUUGUAAAUUAUUUGAGUAUUUUCAAAUUAUUUUUCAGAAAUUACUUACUAUUUUUUAUAAUUUAGAAAGGAAAAAUGGCUAUUUCAAUAAUAGCCCACUUGUAUUUAAACAAUAGCCUGAACUGAAUCCCAAUUCCCCAACCCAAUUCCGAAUUAAACCUGACAAAAGCCCAAUUUUAAACCAACCCAUACGCUGAUCCCCCACUUAUUCUUUUAAUCUAGGCUGUUGAUCACUCAGAUCAAUGGCCACCAUUUACCCUUCCAUAAGUAAACCCAUAUGACCCGUUAACCUACUUCAUUUCUCACCAUCCGCUACCCUUGAAUCCUUCUCCUCUCAAUUCUUUCUGUAGCCUCAUAUAAACCCUAGCUGCCGCCACCCAAUUCCACCCUAAUUCCUUUCAAUCCCUACCUAAUCCAUGGGCUCCCAUGGAGUUUUGAGACGUGUACUCGUCUCACAUGUCUAUUGGCUACCUAUUUUCAUGAUCUCAUGGACAGAUCUCGAAGAGAUCGAGUCUAGCCUUGGUUCAACUUCUAUCUCUAGUCUUUUCCCGGCCAUCCAUGGUUGUUCAAGUCAGAUCCGUGACUUUUCCGUCUAGAUCGAUAACUUUUCAAAGUAUUUCUCACUUACUCUGAGUUGUUUGAAACCUUAGCUUUAUGAGCUAUUCGAUUUUUUUAAACCUACCUUAGAUCUGUGUUUGUUAUGAACUUCUUAGUGUUUUCUCAAAGGUUCUCCGAUUUUCUUUGAAAGUAACUCUUCGUUUUUCAAAUUAGGGUUUCCUAUACUCUUCUCUAAUUUUCAGUGUGUUUUUACAAUUUUACUAUGUUUGUUGCUACAAGUUUCAUCUUGCUAAAAUCCCUGAGUGUUUUGGUUCUGCCUACAUUUCUGAAACUCUCUUGAUUUGUUUUAUACGCAUGUUUGGUUCGAUUAAGUUCUUUAUGGUUGAACCUUUUUGUCUUGUUUGACUUAUCUGAUUAUGAGUGCUUACCUUUUCAACUCAACUCUGUUGUUAAACAUCCUAAUUUCUUAAAAGUUUUUUCCUUAUUUGUUGCUAUGAGUUUGAAGAGUUUACUUGUUUCUGUGUGUUGGUCUCCCUUACCUGUUACUAUAUUUCUUCACUUUUGAUUCCAUGUGACCACUUGACCUUGUUGCCAACUAUGCUUCGAGUAGGUUUCUCUACUACUGAAACCUAGCUUACUCCUACAACUAUUGUAUGUUUAAUUUUCUCCUCUUUGUCAAUAUGUUUGACCUUGAUGCCUAUCCAUCCUUUGAUAUUUAUAUGUUGAAAUUCAGAGUCAUGUUUCUUUCUUGGUUGAUCUUGAUUUCCUCAAUGUUACGACUGAUUGCAAAAUAUUCCAUUAUAUAAACCCUACUUUUUACUCAUUUUGUUCAAAUUGAUUGAUUCCCUUCCUUUCGUUACUGUGAUAUUUUACCUUGAAUCCUUUCCCAUAAUUAAGUAUAAUUUGUACUUAGACUUAAAUAUUUACCUUAUACUUUUACUACCCCCUUAUAUGACAGGAAUCAAUCUGUCUCAAACUGAUUUCUUUCCUUAAUUAAUCAUGUUAGUAUCCGUUAAGCAGUGAAUCCUUAAUUAAAAGGAAUCACUUGUGUUAAUUGAUUCUGAUUGUGAUUAUUUUCAUGUUUGUGUUAAAGCUUUACUUAUUACCCUAUUCUUCACUCGUUUUGAAACUAUAAAUACCCUACUUUAUCUUCUUUCAAACACACAGAAACGAACAAUUGAGUUCAAAACACACACUUACACACUCAAAACUCUUUCUUUCUCUAUUAUUACUUGUGUUACUGCUUUGUCUAGUCGACUGAAAGCCAAGGCUAGACUGUGGAAUAUCGCUUACUUUACCUUUCUCUACUUGUAUGUCCUAGUUAAUUUGUCAAGGUUCAACAACAAUAUGCUUCUUUAAUUGUUUCAUUUUCCCUUUAUCUUGUUUGCUUCUGCUUGUGGUUCUGCAGUCAAGUUACAUUACUAGUAUGUUAUAAUGUCUCCUCUUCCCUUUUAGAUUAAUGCACUCCCCUAUGUUUGUUUCAAGGCAUGCUCUAUCAGUCACUUACUGUGUACUUGCUAUCCUAUGAAUCCCAAACCCCUAUCCCCUCCAAUAUGUUGUGUUCUUAUGGCUGGAUUGUGUUCAUACUAGUAUCUGCUAUAGCUAUGCAUGUCCAAACCAGACCCCUACUGGGUCAUGUGCUUACAGAUAAGUGUAUCCCCAAAAUCCCUUGACCCAUUUGUAUGACUAUGAUUCUGUGUAGUUUUGAGUUUUACUACAACUACUGAUUUCAAUCACCUCUAUCACUAAUUUCUUUUGAGAUGGACUAUCAGUCCAGAUUUUUUAAAUAAAUCUCCUUUAACAUAUGUUAUGUACUUCCACUAUGUUCUUAGAAUCUAGGUUCUCCCCCUCUUGUGUGAGGCUUGCCUUAGGACCCUUGAGCUUCAUCUGAACUUGGACACAUAAGAGUCGGCCCUUCCACACUGCACUCAUUCUGUUUGAUUAUGCAAAUCUGGGUAUGUGCACUACCUGGGACUCCUUGAGGUCCUUAGGGGACUCUGACACACCCAGAUAUGAGAAAGGCUUUGGAAUAAUAUUAGCAUUUAUAUGGUUUAUUGCAUAUCUUAGAGAGGAAGUCAAAGAUCGGGCUUCCUAUGGUUGUAAUUUCUUUCUUUUUUUAUGUAACUCAAUCAUUUGGUCUGUAAUAAUUUGUAAACAAGUAUAGGGUUGGCUAGUGAAACGGGUCGGGAAAUAUACAUAUUUUAGCUAUUAAAAAGGUAGAAAGCAUGUUACUAGGUUUACAUUCCUACUUGCGCAAUAGAAUUCCAUGCUUAGGACUCAUUUCAUGCGUUAGAAAUUAUGUUCCUUAGGAUUUACACUUAUUAUUUUCAGCGUGCCCAUUUUUACUAUCACAUCACUUAGAAAUUCCUGCGUUUAAAUGUGUUAGUAACCAAUGUUUCUACUGCCAUGCACACUUAGAGAUCAUGUUUUAUGCUAAACAACACUAACAAACAUAUCAUUUCUUCAUAUUUUUGAAACCAUGUUUUAAACGCUGAAAUACUUGAGCAUAUAGAAAUCCUGCUUAGGACUCCGCAUAUAUAUCUGCACCUCUUUACAUUUAGAUACCAUUUCUUUAGGAUACUAUUUUUCCCUUAGGAUAAUUAGUAUUGCAUAAAAGGAAAAAACAAUUCUUUACUUAGUCUUUACAACCAAUUGGCACUAAUUUUGUGUGUUAAACACCUAGUACAUCAUGUUUAGGUGACCAUAAUAUUUUGCAACUAUCUUAAUAAUCUUGAAUAACUACUGAAUCUAGCUCACGCCAUGCAAGCCUUAGGUAAUUACUUAAAUAAAUCUGGAAUUGUCUUUAUUUAAUAAUCAGCUGCUACAACCAGUAGGCAUGCCUGAUUUGGACUUCUUUCUAAGCUAUAUAGUGAAUUCGCUUCUGACUCAAGCACCCUGCUUUAGAAUUUUUUUUAAAUUUAGAACUUAGUUGUGUUUUAAGUCUUGUUGUUUAUAUGCAUUAUUUGCGGAGGUAUGCAUGAGCCUUCUAACUGCUUACAUGUUUCCCGUCUAAAUGUAGUCCUACUUGUUUUUGCAUUUCUCCUUAGUAAUUUACCUUUAAAUCAAAGAGUCACCCUAAAACCUCCCUCUUAUAAGAAUAGUAGACCUAAAUUUCUCUGGGGCUGAUGGCAAUGCGACGAGUAACAGCAUGUAAUAGAGGUCGAUACCAAUCUUCACUUUUAAUACCUUCACGGGGUGGGAAGGGUAGAUAUGGACAUGAUGACUAGUGUGUUAAUACCACGUGUAUCCCUUCUUCUGAGGAGUGCCAUACCGGGUAUUGCAUUAAUGUGAUCCAUAUUACAAACAAACCUAGGGCCCCUUUUACAUUCAAAAGCAGGCUUAAAUUGUAAUUUUUUUCAAACCUUGCUUUUAUUGUUUUUCAGAAGCUUGUAUAUUUAAGAUAAAAAUCCCCUAUUACUUGAGCCUUAUUUGUUUACUUGCUAAUUGCACAAAUUCACAAACUAUCUGGCCGGAAACCACACUAGUGGAUUCUAUCUGAUGCCUAACACCUUCCCCUUGGGAUAAUUUCAAGCUCCUACCCUAUCUCUGGUUACAAACAUAGUUGUAGUUGAACCCUAUAGGUGUCCUAACGCACCUUAAAAUCGUUAGGUGGCGACACUUCAAAAUUGCAAAAACCGCUUUCCUAAAAGGAAAGAGUUUUCCCAGGCGAAUAUCACAAACCCGAUUCCGUGGAGGAAAAAGGGGGGUGCAACAGCAUAGCGACUCUAACGAGAAUUUUUAAGCUAUUACCAUUUCAAAUUGCUCUUGUAAAUUUGUACCCCUCCCUAUGUGAAAUUAUUUGUUUAAUUCCUUUCAGCAUUUAAUUGCUUCUCUAAAGGAAAACUGAAAUAUCUUCCUUGUUUUCUUUCCUUUACUGCUUUAAAUUAUGAAACUGCUAUAUUUAUCGCUAUCUUAAUGUGCAAAUACAUGUCAAUAUGCUUUUAAUUAUUGCAUAAGCAUGCUCAACAUCAUAUUCCGCUCGUGCCAAAACGAAUACUAUAGCAACGCUUAUAAUGAGUGGUUGCGCUCUUCCUAUAUUAUUACCCCCUAAAUUGAGAAAGGCAUAUUUGUGGUAAAAUUAGUCGAUCAGCGGUGCAGGCGACAGUUCCAAGCCUUCCCCCUUGAGUUGUUCGCUCAAGGGUACCAGUCUAAAACCCUAUAGAAAACUUACUCUGUUCAAAUUGUGCAUGCAUCAUGGUCAAACCUAGCCGGAUCAAUUAUGUUGUCCACAUAAUGAUUCUUUAAGAUACCCUUAUCCAAAGUACACUGGUUUUCCCUAAACCUAAACACACGACAUCACGUUCUGUGCAUUCAUUUGGAGAACUAAAUGCUUUAUACUAAUUGUUGACAAUAAAUAGUCGACUCUAGUGGCGUAAGGGCUAACCUUAUUUGCCUUGCAAAAAUAUAUGGCACGAAGUCCCCAAAUUUGGCAUGGUCACCAACAUCCACCCAAGAUUGCUAAGCUGGUGGAAAGAUCUACGCUCUAGUGACAAGAAUCUCGUCAGAAAAUAUCUGGGAAAUUUGUCAUCCCUCAUGGAGAUCCAACCAAAUAACAUGAUCAUAGAAACUGCCACAUCGUUUUGGGAUUGUGAAAGGGUCAUCUUCUGCUAUGGGGACAUUGAAAUUACACCUUUGUUGGAGGAGAUAGGAGGACUGGACGGUCUAGUUUGGGAAACUCCGGGUUUUCUAAUGCCUGAGAAUCGCAAAGGUAGGGGCUUCCUCAAAAUGAUGGGUUUAAGAAUCCAUAAUUAACAUGCCUAAAUCAGACAUCCCUUUUGACUACCUGUAUGAAAGGUACGGUCAUAGAAAAUCUUUACCGUACCAACUCUGGCGAGUUCGCCAUCACGUACUUAGAACACGUCCAUCGCAGGGUUUUCGUCUUCAUGUUUUGCUUCCUGGGUCUUAACGUAUUUCCGCUGAAGAAAGGUAGAAUUCAUACUAGUCUGGCUAUGGUAACCAAUACCCUAAUGGAGGGGAUUGGUGGGAAGGCCUUCAGCAUUGUACCCAUGAUCAUUGCAGACAUAUAUCGGUCCUUAGAGAAAUGUCAACAAGGAGCGAAACACUUCGAAGGCUGCAAUAUGCUACUUCAACUUUGGCUCUUAGAGCAUCUCCAAAUGGGUGAAUAUCAACAAGAAAUUCAGCGAAGGGACUGGGAUGAUCACAUCGUUUUCCACCAUCCAAAGCGAAUGAAUUACAUCCCCGACAUGUUCGCUCAACCUAAGAAUGCUGAGGGAUGGCUUGAGCUAUUUGAUAAUCUGACCAAAGAUCACGUUAAAUAGAUGUUCGAAUGGUUUCUGACAGAGGAUUUCAUUGUCCAAUCUACAGAUGCACCUUUCCUGAUACUAAUUGGUUUUAGGGAAACCUACCCUUAUGUCCUUCUUCGAGUUAUGAGGCAAGUUGGCAGGAAGCAAGUCAUACCUGAGGUCGACAAGAUGAUCCACUUUUGAGCCAACUUCCAGAUUGAUUAUAGUCCCUACAAGUGCCAAGCCCAACACAAGUGGCAUUAUAAGAUCGUAAUGAGGAGAGACACCAUAGAGCCAGACAGAUAUCAUGUCGAUUGUACUCCUUUCUAUUCGGGUUGGUUGGAAGACAACUAUAAUGGUUUGUGCCAGCUAGAGUUUGUUCAAGGCCAUAGGAUUAUAGAUGAAAAGGUUGAGGCGCAAGUCAAGUACAACCAGUUGCACCAAAGGAUCCGUGAAUGCGAGAGCAAACACCGUAAAAUACAAGAGUGUCUAGAAGCUAAUUAAGGAAUGGAAAUACAUGGCUACCAACGCCAAACAAAAAGUUGGGAUACUUGGAGGUAGGCAUAGUGGAGCUGGAAAGGAAGUUUCUCAAAAGGGUUGAGGAUUGUCAAGAUGCUAAACGGACCGAAGGUGGAAAUCUAGCCAGAGGAUAUCUGUUGAUGGGACUUCGCGAGUUGGGGAAGCUGUUCGACGAGGCCAAGGAUGCGAAUCUGGGGAAGGUCUUUCUAGUACCAAGUAGAUAGGAGCACCUUUUUCACUUUAAAAGAUGUAAAAAGGCCAAUGGCCAUUAGUAACUUUUUUUCUGUUUAUUUAAUGUCGAUUGGGAUUCGUCUUAUUUUUAUUAAUGAAAUGAGGAAUUUAGCAUUUCAAGUUCUCCAAAUCAACUUGUCGCUAGGCCCACCUCGGGUACAACCAGGUUCCCAAAUUAGGACAUGUUUUACAUUCUUGCACUACGUGUUUAAGUAUUACAAUACUUUUUUAUGAUCCUCGCUAACUUGGUUACCUUUUUGUUUUAUUUUUGUUUUGUUAUUCCCCUCCCCAAAGGUUAAUUCAUACACUCUGGUAAUAUCAUCUUAUUCCACGAGAUCAAGGGGUCGUCCACCCACUCCUCUUCUUAGUCUUGUCAAGAACAAAAACAAAAGCAAAAUGGAAGAUUUGAACAACAUCAGAAAAGAGAACACAACAACAGAGGUCACUGAUGGCCGUGGUAUUCGAUUUCCCAAUGAAAAUGUGUCCCAACUUGAACCAAAAUAGUUAAAAUUCCAGGAAGAGCUAUAUCAGGUUCGGAAUCUGGCCAACCUAUCAUUCUCCCUCAGCACCCCGGACGCCAACUUCCCAUUGUUCAAAACUCCACACCUCCUCAAGAUAUCCUAAAACAAUAAAAUCAUCACAUUGAUCUACCAAAUAACCACUGCAACACUUGUCAUACCCCAAACAACGCUCCACUACUCAUCCCAUAACCUCAAAACUCCAUAAAUGACCAUUUCCAUGACCAUACGGGCCACCAUAACAAUCCCAUAACAAAAUGAUAUUGUAUGUAUACAUACACCACACCUAUUUUAUUUUACUUUAAUAAGUAAGCUCCAAAUCCAGAUAAUUGCUCCGCAGUCAAAUAAGACUUUUGGACUUUCAUUUUGUUUUUCUGUUGCAUCAAGACUAGCUCAAGCAGAGCUUCCCUCGCAUUCAUUCAGCAUCCAUUCACCUCUCAAAACUUGAUACCUUGAGAAUCCAAAAAAUCUUAAGUUGCUCCAUAUCUCCAACCUAUAUUAUUAGUGAAAGAGAUCUCUUCGUAAAAAUGAUAAAAUGAACGAACAGUCAAUCUCUCCUUUUCUCUAGGCAAUGAUGGAAUUGUUCAGUCGUCUAGAGCAGCGAAGCAACCACUUAUUCGGACUUCUCCCGUAGGACUCACUCUUAUGGAUCAAGUUGCAGCUCAGCUAGCAGAUUAUGAUGAUGAUAACGAGUAUUAGAAAGAGUAUAAUACAAAUCGAAACUAUGUAAUGGAGAAAUCUGAAGGAAACAGUUCCACAAAAGGGAGUGCAGUGGGUGAUCAUCGGUGAUUCUAUGGUACAGAGACACGUCUACAUCCAGCGGCUCUCGAAGCUUCUAUAUGUCCCUCAUAUUUCCUUGGGCUCCACCUAUGUUCUUCUCUCUAUAAGCAGAUCGCAGAUGUUGUCGAUCAUGGAAAACUUGUCCCAAAAGAAGUUAAAAUUGUUAUAUUGACAAAGAAGCUAGAAGCGGGAUAUUGUAGGGUUGGAAGUGGAUCAAUCUUGGAUGGAAUUCCGCGAAGGUUCUAGCUUACUGCUAGAAUUAAUAUGAAUCCUAAGCCAGAGGGUGGUCUAUUUUAGGCCUUCAAGUACCCUGGAUGAUGUCUCUAAUAAGAAGUUGCAGGUGCACGCAGAGCAGAUCAAAGCUCUAAAAGAAUACUACAGGAAAAAAAGAAAGCUCUCUCCAUUUUCAAGUGGCUGGAGGACCUUUGGCUGCUUUGCAUCUUCAGCACAUGAAUGCAGUUUGUUCAACACAAUUGAGUGCAUGAUACCUAUUUGUCUUUCGUCUGAUCUUCAUCUUUUUGCAAGCAUAGUAGGUAUAGGAAAUACAGUAUUUUGGAUAGCGUGCAACAAAAAAUAGUGACGAAGGCCCGCUUCGUAGAGGCGAGCAGUGAAGCGCUCACCUUUUUUAUGUGAAGCGACAAUUUAUACAAAAAAAAUAAAUAUUAUGUAUAUAACUAAAACCUCAAUAGCAAUAAUAUAUUAAUAAAAUAUAUCAUAUAUCAAUUAAAAAAUUAAAAACUCAGUAGAUAGUCAUAGUAAAUUCAUAAAUUAAAAGUCUAAAACAAGCAACAUCUAUUCUUCACGCCAAUUCCAAGCUAUAUCAGUAUUUUAUUACCAUCGGAUGAUGCCAUUUCAAUAUUGUUUUGUAGGAAAAAAUCAUCAAGUCAAUAUGCAAUUAAUUCUAACUUUAUAACUGGAAAAAAGGAGAAAAUUUCAGGUUUAAGCUCUCUGCCCCUGCCCACAGUGAAACUGUGAAAAAUUGAAAAACAAAAAACAUAGUAGAAAAAAGAAAGAAGGACAGAAGAAGCUUUCUGAACUGAAGAAAAAACAGCUUUUCUCAAAUUGUUCUGUUGAGUGCGGCAACAAUGAAAAAAAACAGAGCCCAAAAAAAAAGAGAAGAAAAAGGAAGAAAAAACAUAGCAACACAUACUCUGUUAUGUUGCAUCAGCAUCGAUAAAAACAGAACCCAAAAUCAAAAGAAGAAGAAGAGAAGAAGAAAAAGGAAGAAAAAACAUAGCAACACAGAUUCUUUUCUGUUGCAGCAGCAUCGAUAAAAAAUAGAGCACAAAACAAAAGAAAGAAGAGAAGAAGAAAGAAAAAAAUUGGACCGAGUCACAGAACAGAAACUAGAAGAAAGGGGAAAGAAGAAUAAGAAAAUAGAUGAAGCAUACCUGAUGAAGAAAGAAGAAAGAAGAAAGAAAAUCACUGGCCUACUGUCGACUUGAAAGAGAAAGAGUAAAGAAAUCACGAGCCCUAAUUUUUUGCUUUAGCAGAUCGCUUCUGCCCCCUUCUUCUUUUCCUUUUUUUGAAAAAAGCGACGCUACAGCUCGCCUCAAGCUACAGUUCUCCACACGCUACAAAGGCAGAGGCGCUCGCCUCUUUGAAAACGCCACGCCACACUGUAAAUAGCGAUGGCAGCUUGCCUCGCCUCAUGUUAUUAGCGAGCAAGCGCUAUCUACAACACUGAGGAAAUAUGAGCGAGACAAACUCUAAGUUUUGGGCAAGGAUACACAUAAACUUUUUUUCCUUUUUGUUUGAAUGGGUUCAACCUAGUUCUAGAAACACCAUAAGAUCUAAGGCAUUAAACAAGCUUAAAAUAUACUCUCUUUAGGUAGAUUUCUACAUAUGCUAAUUAUUUGGUGAAAAGAAUUCCUUGAGUCGAUAGAGCUUGAUAUACUAACCUAUGUUAAUCCGACACGACAGUUCAGGUGCCACACCCGUGUCGACACGACACUAGUAUGGGCGUGGGUAUGGAAUCUAACCUCUACAUCCAAACACCCGGGUCGGACACCCGAACCCAUGUCGGAGUAACUUAGAUACAAACGAACCUGCCAACAAGACAAAAUAUCUAGAAUAACAGUUCUAUCAAGCACCUUCCUUAGAAAAAAAAGAAAGCACUGUUGCACCCGAGUCUUCCCUAUAAAUACUCAGGACAUGUUUAUCACAACAUAUAGAAUUAAUUUGUUUUGAUUGUUCUAUGCAAAUAAGGUGGCUUCUUAAAUUUAACUAUGAACAAACCCAAAAUCUUUAUAGAUAGAGCCAACAUUAAUUCCCAACCGUGGGGUGAAUGGAAUCUGAUACAUAAAGCAGUUAAUAAAAGAAUAGAAAAAGCUUUUACUGUGUCACUUAAGUUAUAUAGGAAUUCCUGAGCCCAAGAGUUAAGAAUAACAAGUUUUUCAUUACCCAAAAUUGAAUACCGGCUUAGAAUAAUAAAACAGAUGAUAUUUGUCGAGAAGUGCAAAAUCGUAUGGAUACGAUUGUCAUUUUGUAUCUUGAUUAAUUGGAUCGUUUCUUUAUGGAUUCCUAUCCCAAACUCUUCGAGAUGUGUUUCCGACUAUUCCUUGAUCAUUUCGUCGAGAGGGAUGGGGUUUCUCUCGCUUUUGGCAUAGCGGGCCCCUAGUGGGAGGCUCGCACGACGGGCUAUUAGCUCAGUGGUAGAGCGCACCCCUGAUAAUUGCGUCGUUGUGCCUGGGCUGUGAGGGAUCAAGAUCAUCGAGAGGUAAUAUUCAUUCAUUGAAUUUACAGGCCAAAGAUAUAUCAUCUCUAUGGGAUUAAAUCCCGAGUUAUUGCGAAGUAAAAAACCGAUGAGAUUAUGGAAGUAAAUAUUCUUGCAUUUAUUGCUACGAGAGGUAAUAUUCAUUCAUUGAAUUUACAGGCCAAAGAUAUAUCAUCUCUAUGGGAUUAAAUCCCGAGUUAUUGCGAAGUAAAAAAC
rnacentral:lncRNA from 1 species